ensembl:lncRNA
UGGACAAGCAGGUCUGACAGGUUGCAUUUUUGUUCCCAUUACUAUGAUGGGCACGAGGAUUCGUUCCCAUUUUCGUCAGCUGGCAUUCGGUCCUGGAUUUAAACCGCAACUGUGGCUGCAUUGCUGUGAAAUGUAUCACUGCUUAUGACUCACGUUGCAAAGGACACAUUUGUAAACUGACCCACCAUUGACAAAAUCCUCUCUUUCUUCAUUUGUAGGAGGCAAGAUGAGGCAUAGGUUCCUUGUCUGAUUCAUUUCCUGAGGAAAUUUUUACUCCCUGCAUCUUUUUCAGUCCUCAUUCAGUCAGAGAGCAGCAAAGUGAUUAAUACAAAAUCCAUGCCUGACACAGGCUGGAAGAAAGAUGCAAAUUCCUUUAGAACCAGCGCUUAAUUAAUCGCUCAGAAAAACAGUCCACUGCCAAAAAAUGGGGGGGGAGGGGGUUAUUUUUUGGCUUUUUUCUUUUUCCCCCCUAGUUGAGAAAGCCUUUUCAGUUGGAAAGCCAAUGACAAGCAACGGCACACAGCAAAAUGCACGAAGGACAAAUCCAGCACCCUUUGAAAUCAACCCCUCGGAAGGAAGAAUUAGCAACCUGGACAGUGCUGCAGGCAACUCCAGCCCUCCUGCAUCUGCUGCUCGAUCACACUCACUCACAGCCAGCUCUGGUCCUUCCUCACCACACUGCAGAAAUCCUAGGAGAGCUGCGUAUCUAACAUCUCAGACAAACACAGACAAUGACCAGAAAAUUAAAACUGCCGGGAAUAAAAGAUAACACAAAGAGAGCCCUGGAGAAACUGCAAUCUACAGCCCACAGAUUCUGCUGCUCUUUGAGCAACGGGGCUGCACCAAGAGCAUACCCAGCUCACUUCACCAACUUAAACACACAUAUAUACCCGUGGAAAGCAAAAUGUAACACAGCAGGCAGUGCUAGAGCAUCACAACAAGUCGCGGAUUUAAUGCAAGCUCUUUGGGAUGCACUAAAAGCACCAACUGCCCCUACUGUCCUUGGCACAAAAUGUACCAGUCUGCCUUGGAUCCCCAGUUCUGGGGUUCCAAACAUGCACUGCCACACCACAACCAGUGUGCCUGCCCAUGGCCAUGGCACCAAGGUGCACAGGUAACAC